CUGGGCAAAGGAUAAUGGAAAUUUUCAGCAGUUUGGGGUUUCCUUUGUUCAUGUUAAACUAAGAAUUCCAGUAUCUUCAGGCUAGAAAGCUGGAGUUCAUUCUUUUGAAAAACAUGAACUGAGCCCGGCGCUAAAGGCUGGACAUGCAAAAAGAAGCCAGUCUUGCCUUGGGAAGAAAAGGAUAUCCACAGCUACACCACAGCGUUUCAGAAGAAAACAUAUGGUGCUUCCAUUCUCUCCCGAGUCUUUCAACCCCGCAAUGUUUCCCACCUGGAGAGCUGCUUUGACUACCAGGGAAAGGACGCUGACCUGGCUUAGCUGGAGCAAACAAAAGAUGCAGGACUGAGCCUGCUUGCUGAAAGGAGCUAGAAGAUGCCGGCUGGAACCAUGAACAGAAUUGCCCUUUGUGACCAGGCCCUUAGUGGCUCCAGCAGAGUGGUUUUAAUCUUUCAUAGGCCAUGCAACACUUCGGGACAAUCGGGUGGAAUUCAGGAUCCUCUCCUAGAAAACCUCUCGGAAGCACAUAAACAUAAGGUAUUGUACAUAACUUCUGGGGAUGCACAAACCCCAGAGGCACAAAGACAGCUACCAGGAGGAGCAGGAACCCUGUUCACCUUGGUCUGAGCGUCUAUGUGCCAAGCAGCAUGAAGACCCCACCUCAAACUCAACUCAUCGCCAUACUGAAUGCUGGAACAUUUUCCCACACGCUGCUUGGAACACUGUCCCCGAGUCUUCUGCCCAGGAAACAUCUAUUCAGCAGUGUCUCACCUCUUGAAUGAAAACCUUCUGCACCCUAACUCCCCACCCUCCCAUAGAAACUAAGUGAACCCUUGAUUCUGCCCUACUAUGCUCUACAGGUGCUGGUGUCAGAGAUCCUAUAGCAUUUAUCACCUUCAUGCAUUUACAUGCCUUUCUCCUUCUGCUACACGCAACCUGAGGGCAGGGACUCUAACUUAGUUAUCUUGUAUUUCAGGUUCUGGUAAAGUCCUCAUUCUGGAGAAAAACAUUCUGUAGAGGGAGACAGACACAAAACCAGAUAAUUUAAACACAGAAAAUCCAAAUGCUGAGCCUGAUGGGAUGAGUGAUUUUUAAGCUAAAUUUAGACAGAGGAGCAACAAUAAAUCAAAGUUAGGAGUGGCCAUGCUGGGCAGAGGAGGCAGCAAGGCUUGCAAACAGGAAGGAAUGUGAGCAAGGAAUAAAGUAACUCAGGAUUCGUGAUGACUAAAGAGGUAGGCAGAAAGCAGCUGUAAGGAGAGGUGAGGUUAAGGAGGACACUGAAUGAAGUCUAAGGGAGCUGGAAUUUAUUGUGUAAAGGUGGGAAGUCAUUGAAAGAUUUUUUUUCUACUUAAAAGUAACAAAUGAUAAUUGUAGAGAAUGAAGACACAAGUGAGGAAAAUUAUAACUCUGCCAUAUAGAGACAACCACUAUUACUAUUCUUUCAUCUCUGUGUUAGAUAAACGUGUUUGUGCGUAUGAUUUUCAUGUUCUUUUAAUUCUGCUAAUAUUUAUUAAGCAUUUACUAGGUAUCAGACAUUGUGCUAAAUACACCACAGGCAUUCUGUCAUGUUAUUUAAUCCUCACAAAAAUUCUUAAGAAAAGUUCCUAUUGUAAUCCUAUUUUAAAGAGACAGACAUAGGGAGGGGGUGGGGGUUAGUACUACUAUGCAAGUCCACACAGCUAAUGUGUAGCUGAGCUGAGAUUUAACACCAAGUUUUCUUACUGCAAAGACUAUACACUUACAUUUCAAGUUUCAUUUAUUCUCACUCAUUUAAUUUAUAAGACGAGUGAAUCAUUUUAUCCAAUUUUCUCAGGAAACUGCUUUGUGCUCUUGAUUAGCCUUGUAAUAAAGCAGAAACAUAAACCCGGAAAGUAUGAACACCUCACUGUACUGUCUUCCCACAUAGGGAGCACAGAAAACCCCUGGCGUUUAUUUGGAUCUUUUUGUAGUCCUAGUAAUGUUUGCAGUUUUCUUGUAACCUUAGGAGGGUACAUGUUCAGAUAUAUACUUUGGACAGAUUAGUCUGGCAACAGUAUGAAGAAUGGAUCUGAGAAAACCAGAUUGGAAGGCUGAAGUAUCUGGCCACAAUCCAGGAUGUGUGCAUAUGUAUUUGUGCACAACGUGCACACUCAAAUUGAUGGUAUCCCGGUCAUAAGAAGACAUGCAAUAACGUCAAGAUUGUCACAGAGAGACCUGGGUCAGAAGGAUUUGCAAGAUCAAGCCCUCUUCACAACCACUUAGAACUGGGAGUCACAACUAGUCAAGACUAAUAAAACGCAUUUAACAACCCAAAAAUGGCUUUGGGUGAUUCUUCCUAAAUUGACAGAAAACCGUAUU